rnacentral:misc_RNA from 1 species
AACCUAGCACACCUGCGGUGUGUACCUGCGGAAGGAUCAUUACCGAGUUUACAACUCCCAAACCCCUGUGAACAUACCACUUGUUGCCUCGGCGGAUCAGCCCGCUCCCGGUAAAACGGGACGGCCCGCCAGAGGACCCCUAAACUCUGUUUCUAUAUGUAACUUCUGAGUAAAACCAUAAAUAAAUCAAAACUUUUAACAAUGGAUCU